rnacentral:lncRNA from 1 species
UAAAUAAGUGGAUGAUCUGAGAAGUUCUAGAAUACAAGAAAAAUAGAAAAUAUCCUUACACUUUCCUUUCUCUCCUCUCACUAUUAGACCAGAGUAAAAUCAUACAAAUGCACGGCGAUUCAAGUUGUUUUGGCGUUUAACAUGGUAUCAGAGCUCAGAAUCGUGUAGCUCUCACUCACAACUACCUUUCGAUCCUAUACUCGAGGCAUUUGUCGACAGUUCGUAUUCCCACAGUUUCUUUUGUCAUUUUGAUCUUUUUGGUGAGAAUUUAGUGAGUAUGUUGAGCAAGGUUUUUAUUUCUUCAAGCUAUCGAAGAAGGACGGUAACAUUUUUGUUAUGGACUUAUGGACUUUUUCUUUUCUAGUAUUGAGCUCUCACUGUUGUGUAUUGAACUAGCAGGACCUGUAUAUUGUUGGUUUGGAUGUGUUAACCGGUUAUGUUGCUGAUUUUAACUGUCUAUCGAUUUGUUGGAAUCUGUAUAUUGGUGGUUAGCUGAUUAUAGUGUCGGUUUAGCUGAUUUUAGUUGUUUUUUGGUUGUUUUUUUACUAGGUGUUAUGGGGGAUAACACCACUACUGCUUUCUCUGAUAAAUUUACCCUCUUCUUCAUCAACCCUUCUUACCUAUUCGAUAAUCCUAACACUUCUAUAGUUUCUCCUACCUUUGAUGGAAACUAUUUUGCUGCUUGAAGGAGGAAUAUGCAUGUGGUUCUCUCAGCCAAAAACAAGCUCGACAUAAUCACUGGAAAAAAUUCCCAACCAUAAAAAAUUUCCCCAUAUUAUUUAGGAUGGUAACGAUGUAAUGAUAUGCUAAUAGCCUGGAUGAUAAAUUCGUUAUCCAGGAAAAUUGAACUUAGUUUAAUAGGAUACACUACUGCUAAAGAAAUUUGGCGGGAUCUCAAUGAACAUUUUGGGCAAUCAAAUAAUUCCAAAUAUAUUCAAAUCCAGAGAAAAAUCAGUUCUAUUACUCAGGGUUCCUCAGGUAUAAUGAGUUAUUUCACCAAAUUACGAAUUCUAUAGGAUGAACUUCAUACCUCUUAUGUGUGUCCCAACUGCACAUGUGGUACUCUACCAAAAUUGUUGAAAAAGAACAACUAUUUCAGUUCCUAAGUGGUUUAAAUGAAUGUUACUCAUCUUGCAAAUCCAAUAUCUUAAUGAUGUCUCCUUUGCCCUCUAUCAGUAAAGCAUAUUCUAUGUUGCAACAUGAUGAACAUCAAAAGAAACAUUCCCCACAUAUUCUCAGUUUCUCAAUUUUUCAACUGAGUUUUUAUCCUUUCUAGCAUCCACUAGCUCUUCUAAUUCUUAUAAGAGGAAGGUUUAAGCUGGUCCAAAUCAUAGAAUUCAUUUUGACUCAAGAAGAAGGAACACUUAUUAUCAUUAGAAGAUCCAGUUUGAGUUCAGGAAAGGAAAUUCUGGCGUUAUUGCUACUGACCACUGCAAGUACUGCGAAAGGUCUGGUCAUGUUAUUGAUGAUUGUCAUAAACUUCAUAGGUUGUCAGCAGAUUUUAAAUUCACUAAGAAAAAAAAAGCCUCUACAUUAUGUGUACAGAAUGUAAAAUCUACAUCUGAAUCUAGAUCUUUUUCAUUUGUUCUUGUUGGUUUCAAUAAUGACUAAUAUCAACACUAUCAAUAUUUGCUCAGUUUACAACAGUAGUUUUCUUCUUCUAAAGGAACCUUUGAUGAAAAUGUUGUUUUUAGUUCUUUUGAAGGUUUGGUUAGCAGCUCUACUGUUAAUAAUAUUGAUUCAUAUAUAUGUGUAGCAUCUUAACUAUGUAGUUCUAGUGUUUAGAUUUUAGAUUCAGGGGCAACUAACCACAUGACCCCAUAUAAACACCUCUUACAUAACAUACAACCCUUAUCCACUCUAUAUCUAAUCACUCUUCCCAAUGGGUACAAAGUGAAAGUCAUAACCACUAAAUUUUUAAAAUUCAGACAUGAUUUAAUUCUUCACAAUGUACUCCUUGUUCCUUAUUUUUUAUUUUAAUUUGAUUUAUAUUCAUAAAUUACUUGUGCAACUUCAGUGUUCUGCCAUUCUUAUAAUUUCUGCUUGCUUUUUAUAGGGUCUUUCUCUGAAGAGGCCAUUAAAAAUUGGUAAAGUGGGUAAUGGG